rnacentral:tRNA from 1 species
GGGGAUAUAGCUCAGCUGGGAGAGCGAUACGUUCGCAACGUAUAGGUCACGAGUUCGAAUCUCGCUAUCUCCA